AUGUUUAAAGAAAGUACUGUGAAAAUUAUUUAACAUUACAUGUAUUUUUCUGAGAUUCAAUGAAGGUGUAUCAUUACUUUGAGCACUCACAUGAGAUUUCCAAAGGAUAUUCAUAUGUCUCAGUAUUAAGAUAAUUGAAGUAGUGUAAUGGUUUGCAUCAGUGUGAGGAGAAAGUUAAUAGUCUUUAACAAGUUAUGCUGAAGUAUGUAGACAAAGUUACAUAAAUUAUUAAGAAUAUUGAUUUACUUCAUUACAUGUACUAUAUUUUAAUAUUGUUUGAUGAUUUUUUUUUUCUGGUGAUCUCAAUUAAAACAGUUAUCACUUCCUAAAAAGAAUUAUGAUUUUGAUUCAGUUUUAUAAACAACUUAUUUUCAUUCCGAAUCGGGUCAUUUGAGGAUCAGAGACAAAUUAAGAGGACUAGAUGGCCAAGAUUUGAAUGAUUUUAUCUCCUUUUAUAGAAGAGCUAUGUGUACAAAGAAAAUUACUCAAAUUUAAAGGUCAAUGUAUUUAUGGAUUUGAAUUUUUUUAGUACUAAACCUAAAUACUAGUAAUACUUUAUAGCUAAAGAAUUCAUAUCUAACAAUUUACAGUAGAUUUGUUGGUUGUUUUAUUGACUACAAGUCUCCUACAAAAUCUACAGCGUUCUUAGAAAUAAGAAAUUCUUAACGCAUAUUCGAGAGGCGAUGUGUAGAGACUGUUCACUAACAUAGUUGUGUUUGUUAGAACAAUGUAUUCAUUUUUUUUUCUGGUGCAGAAACGUUUUCACCAAAGAUGAAUUUUAUUUUUUAUGCACUUGACAUAUCAACUUAAUCAAGCCUUUGAAAAAGAAAUGGAGUUUACCUCAUCACCUUUUGCAUGAUGUCAUAAGUGAUGUCAAUGAUGAGUUGGCAGGUUUGUGAUGUAUCAUUACUGACCUUAAAUAAAAAUGUGAAAUAUUUUACACAAAACUUGCAUGCUGCAAUCAUGUAUAAAAUGCAUUUUAUUUUAUUUCUUUACAAGUUUCUGAGAUUUUUCUUAAAUAUAUAGCAAUGAAAUGCCGUCCAUUUUUAUAUUGUACUCCAAUGUCAAACACAUGCGUCUAUUUGUCUACAGUGUUGUUUCAAAUUCCUGUUUUGAUUUUGUGAAGUAUGUGUUGUGAGGAUCUUGAAACUUGUUGUAUCUUCGACAUGAAAAUUCUUUGUAUACUGAUAAUGUAGAAAUCGAUAGAACUGAAAAAAGAAUGUUGAACUUUAUUAAAACAUGUAUUUGG
rnacentral:sRNA from 1 species